rnacentral:rRNA from 1 species
CUCAAGCGUUGUUCGGAUUCAUUGGGCGUAAAGGGUGCGUAGGCGGCGAGGUAAGUCGGAUGUGAAAUCCCGGGGCUCAACCCCGGAACUGCAUUCGAUACUGCUUUGCUUGAGUACUGGAGAGGAGACUGGAAUUUACGGUGUAGCAGUGAAAUGCGUAGAUAUCGUAAGGAAGACCAGUGGCGAAGGCGAAUCUCUGGACAGUUACUGACACUGAGGCACGAAGGCCAGGGGAGCAAACGGG